GAAAUGCGAUAAGUAGUGUGAAUUGCAGAAUUCAGUGAAUCAUCGAAUCUUUGAACGCACAUUGCACUCUCUGGUACUCCGGAGAGUAUGCCUGUCUCAGAAUCGGUAAAUUUUCUCCCUUCUCUGGGGAUGUUUUUGAUUGUCGCUCAUGUGUCAAUCAUUUGUUCUUCAAGGGCUGGGGAUCUGGAUGCACUUUUUUUUUCUUUUCAAAAAAAUCAUCCGGAAUUUAUGGCGUAUGUGUCCGGCUGGUUCCACUUGUGUGGGUUCACAUCCAAAGUGCAACAACAGAAAAAAAUGCUACACCUUGGGCGUGAGAUACCUACAAGUAGUGAUGCAACGCAUGCUCUACAAUGGGCGAUCAACCACUCACUUCAUGAACUCGAUCUGAGAUCAGGCAAGG
rnacentral:misc_RNA from 1 species